rnacentral:rRNA from 1 species
AAUAAAGCCUUGAAUGGAUAUCUUGGCAUAAAAAGAAGUAGGGCGUUAAAUCCAACGAAAUGCUACUAGGAGGCGGAUAAACCCCUGUGAUCAGUAGAUACCCUUUGAGUAAACUCAAUGCUUGUAGAAGCAGAUAACAUGUUGAACUGAAACAUCUAAGUAAACGUGGUAGAGAAAUCAACCGAGAGUCCGUUAGUUGUGGCGAGCGAACGCGGAUUAGACCAGUUACAAUACUAUAUUACUAUUCAUACGUAAUUAAUUCGUUAAUUACUAACCUUAUUUAAAUCUUUGGAAAAGGGUGCCAAAGCGAGUGAUAGCCUCGUAGGACUUGGUUGUGAAUACUAAAUUGUAAUGUACGAGUAGACCGGGCGAGAUAACCUGGUCGAAGAUGGGAGGCCCACCUUCCAAGUCUAAUAACUUUUUAUGACCGAUAGAGAACAAGUACCGUAAGGGAAAGAUGAAAAGAACCCUGAAAAGGGAGUGAAAUAGAUCUUGAAAUUCAUUGCUAACAAGCAGUCGGAGCAAUAUAUAGUAUUUAUAUUAUAUAUUUGUGACGGCGUACCUUUUGCAUAAUGGGCCAGCGAGUAUAAAGCAUUAGCAAGCUUAAGCUAAUAAGUGUAGGCGAAGAGAAAUCGAGUCCGAAAAACGGCGCGUGCUGCUUUUGUGCACAUAGUUAAUGUUUUAUGACCCGAAACCAGGUGAUCUAAUUAUGAACAGGUUGAAGACUGGGUAAGACUAGUUGGAGGACCGAACUUGUAGGCGUUGCAAAGCCUUAAGAUGAUUUGUGAUUAGGGGUGAAAGGCCAAUCAAACCUGGAGUUAGCUGGUUCUCUGCGAAAUCUAUUUAGGUAGAGCGUCCAAUCAGUUCAGUACGGGGUAGAGCACUGUUUAGGCUAGGGGAGCCCAAAGCUUUACCAACCCUAGAUAAACUCCGAAUACGUAUUGAAUAUAUGGACAGACAGGCUAUAGGCGCUAAGGUCUAUAGCCGAGAGGGAAACAGCCCAGACCAUCCGCUAAGGUCCCUAAACAAUUACUGAGUGGUUAAGGAAGUCUUGAACCAAAAACAACCAGUAGGUAAGCUUAGAAGCAGCUAUCCUUUAAAGAAAGCGUAAUAGCUCACUGGUCUAGGUUUGGGGCGCCAAAGAUUCAACGGGGCUUAAGUAAUUUGCCGAAGCGAUGGGUGAUAAUAUAAUAAAUUAUCGCGGUAGCAGAGCGUUCUGUAGGUCUAUGAAGAUUUUCUGUGAGGAAAGUUGGAGGUAUCAGAAGUGAGAAUGCUGGCAUGAGUAACGUAAAAUCCUGUGAAAUUCAGGAUCGCCGGAAAUCCAAGGGUUUCUGCGCACUGUCUGUCAGCGCAGAGUUAAACGGACCCUAAGAAAAUCUACUAAUAUAUUCGAUGGGAAAUAGGUAACUUUCUUCAAAUAAUCCUAAUUCAUCUCUAUGUACGAAAAAAUACCUGCAAUAGGACUAAUUGGUUUAUCUUAGUAGUAAAAUUGGAAGUUAUUUUAUUACAUUUGCAUCAUUUUUUCCUGGAAAAUCGUAGAGAUAUUAAAGACCGUACCCUAAACCGACACUGGUGGAUUAGUAUAUUUUACUAAGGCGAAUGAGAUAACCACAUUGAAGGAACUCGGCAAAAUUCCUUCGUAACUUCGGGAAAAGAAGGACCAAAAUGUUUUUUGGUGACACAAAAUAGGGGAUAGCGACUGUUUAUUAAAAACACAGGUCUCUGCUAAAUCGGAAGAUGAUGUAUAGGGACUGACUCCUGCCCGGUGCCGAAAACUUAAGAGGACGGGUUAGCUUAAGUGCACGCUCAGAAUCUAUGGCUCGGUAAACGGCGGCCGUAACUCUAACGGUCCUAUGGUAAGACACACAUUCAAACAUGCGAAUAAAGGAAACUGAUAACGCACUAGCGUUAAUCAGUGAAUGUUGCCAUAGUAAAAUCGAACUAUAUGCGUGAAACUCCUCAAAAACUGGAUUCUACGUAAUCUUAUUAUACAUAUUUAUUGCUUGUUAAUGAAACGUAAUCGCAAUAUUUAUAAAGAUUCGUCAAAAUGGACCAGUCAUAAAAGCCUAUAGGGUUUUGUAGUUUUAUAUUUAAUUAUAUUAUUAGCUACUAGGGGACAAUACGCAGGAAACCAUGUUAAAUAAAUGGGAUCCUCAGAGACCAAACGUUCGGAUAACUAUAUUAUGAAACUAACAUCGCAAUGGAUUACGGGUUUUGUAGACGGUGAAGGAUGUUUUCACGUUGGAUACUACAAAAGUGGCCAAAUUCAACCAGAAUUUACCGUAGUUCAACAUACUCGUAGUAUAAAAGUUUUGUAUGCUCUUAAAUCAUUUUUUGGUUGUGGUAGCGUACGUCAACAAAAACCAAACCUAUGGUAUUAUAGAGUACGUAGACGUUCAGAUCUACUAGAUACAAUUAUUCCUUUCUUUGAGAAAAAUGAAUUGAAAACUCAUAAGAAAGUAGAUUUUAUACGUUUUCGUUGGAUUACAAUUCAAUGUUCACGUAAUAAUCACUUGAAUGAUGAUGGUCUAAAGUGGAUUCUUCGUAUUCGUAAUCUAAUGAAUCCUACGCUCUAGAGAGCAUAGCGACCUAGAGGAGCCGUAAAUAAAUAUAGUUAUAAGAUAGAGUCCAUUAAU